ACUGCACACACUUGCUAUUUUCACUAUACCUCUGCCGGCUCUGCUGAGGUCAGGAUGAUGAGCAGCACCAUACCUGGGAUUACAGAAUCCUCGACCCUCAGGAGCAGAAACACCUCCCUUGCCUGCAGUUUUUCAUGAGAUGCCAUAAAUGUGUCCUGAUUUGCUGCAAAUAAGGAGAGUGACCCAGAGGCUUUGGAUAUUUGGAUGAAAUGGAUUUCUCUAGUUGGCCUAGCUUAGGAGACAUCUCUCAAGCCCUUUCUCCAAGACCCGGAUGCUGCAGAUUUAACUCUGUCCCUGCUAACUUCAGGUCCAACUACAGAGGCCUUCCACCCCUUACCAAGAUCGCAGCUCCUCCCUCCUACGUGACAGUGGGUGAACUCCAAUUUCUGGCCUGAUUUUUCUCUAAUGUAAUUAGCACCAUAUAAAUGUCUUUGCUGUCUACCACUAAUUCAUAUUUGAGUUCUAACUGAUCAUGUCAAUGGCUCCUCUUUCAUGGAGUUUCAAGUUUAGCUUUUAAACCAAUUGCUAGUCCUUAUUCACUUAAACUCAUGAGACACAUGUCAGCUAAUAAGUUAUUGAAUUGGUCUUUGGUCAGGGACAUCAGAUAACCACACAAAGUCAUGAAGAUGAACUGUCCUUUGGACCUGACGGUUAAAGGAAACCGUGUCGAUGCUUCAAUAUGCAUAUUGUGUGACUCCACCAAGAAGAAAAAGACAUUCCCUUUCCACCCCAAAACAAGGAGAGAAGGGGACAAGAAGAGAAGGAAAAGAAUUGUGAGGGAAGACGAUAGCGGAAUUCCACCUAAGGCAGACCCAGGUCAAGGAAUAAA